UAUACUUACUUAAUAUAAAUAAUCAACACCAAUCUUUUUCAAAUAUGCCCAGAUCAAGAGGUUCAUUGUGGAUCUGAAGAUACUUCCCAGUGCCUACACUGUAGGGAGCUCAAUGGACAGAAUGGCAACUAUGGGUAUAUUCCUCAAUGGAAGUGAUUGUCCAUUUUUGGGCUCCCUUCUUCAUUGAGUUCAAAAUCAUAGACUUACGCCUUCACUGUACAAUGGGCCAUACAUUCAGUUGAUGGAGAUAUAAGAAUCGUCAAACUUGGGGUCACGUCCCAUUGCAAUGCUUUGUUGUUGUGUGCCUUCAAACCAGCUCCUAAGAAGAAAUCGCUUAGACCGGUGGUUCUCAAACUGUGCUCCAUGGAGUUCUUAGGGCUUUGUGAAGAACUUCUCCUCCUCCUUCCUCCUCUUCCUCCAAGUUCAUUGAAGGUUGGCUGGUUGCUCCCCUACCACUGAAGUGUCGGAAGUGACAGUGUGUUCUACAUUGUAAAAUAAUACAAUUUGACACCACUUUUACUGCCCUGACUCAAUGCUAUGCGCACUAUUCUCAUGAGCAUAAUCAGUAACGUGUUGGUUUGACUUCUGGAACUAAAGCCAUGUCUGCUCUGGCCCUUGGAGUCAUGUCAUCUUGGAUCUCUGCUUUUUAUCCUACCUCACCAUAUUCUUUUAUCGGCCCUAGGUAUUUUUCAAGUGUAGGCGAACAGAAUUUUGGCGCCCCCCCGAAAGCAAUCACUGAAAAAUAAAAGUGUCGGAUCAGCGAAAAUGUUUGAUAAUAAGGAGGGAUUAAGGAAAAGCCUAUUAAACAUCAAAUUACAUUAAGAUUUUACAAAUUAAGCACGAAAACAUCAUGUUUUACAACAAAUCAACAGAAAAAGCAGUUCAAUACCUUGCGGAGGCAGGAGUUGCCUCAAUGGCGCCCCCAACAAGAUGGUUCCACAUGCAACUGCCUAGUUAGCCUGGUGGUUGAACCGCCUCUGCUUGUAUGAUCACCAGGACCAAUCAGAUUAGAGCAUGGAGGUGGAGCAAAAGAUGUCUCUAUAUGAAGAGCAGGACCUGCAGGGAUCCGAUGGUUGUGGCGUUCUUCCCUUCCCUUGGUAGGACCACCUAUCCUAUUUUGACCAUGUUCUGGUCUCCUAUCAUCAGUCUGCUAAUGCUGUGGAGUGCAGGAGCGAAUGCUCAGCGUGUCCUGUCUCAGCCUGCGUCGGCCUCUGUAUCAUUGGGCGGCACCGUGAAAGUCUCUUGUGCCUUGGACAGGGGUGCCAGUAUCAACGACUACAUAGUCUCCUGGUACCAACGGAAGUCAGGGAGCAGCCCAAGGUAUCUCCUCCAAUAUAAAUCACACACUGAGAAGGACCAUGGGUCCGGGGUCCCUCCUCGCUUCUCUGCCUCCAAAGACUUAUCCAGCAACACUGGCUAUUUAAGCAUUGCGGGAGCCCUAGCAGAAGACGAGGCAGACUAUUACUGUGUCAUUUGGCGCACCUAUCUCACAGUGUCUCAGGCAAAUAGGGAAGUCAGACAAUAACUCACUUCUCAUCUUGAGAGAGAGUCUAAACCCUUUUGUGUCUGACUUGAAUGUAGCAAAAAAAGGAAAAUUAUAUUAUAUAAUAUAAUAUAAGGUAAGUUAUUAACACACACUUUUAUUAUAAUGUGGUCCCUGUAAAGGGCUAUGAACGUCUAAGGUUCUUUCAGGCAGGGGGAAUCUUUUUAUCCCACCG